CCCGCCCCUCCCAGAGGUGAUGGCGGGAGGGGAACGGAGCGCACGGGAGGGGGAGCGGGGCGGAAAGGUCGCUGUCGUGGCGAUGGGGGCAGGCUCAGACCGCCUGCGCCACCCAGGCCCCGCCGCCCGUGUAAACAAAACCGAGGGUUUUGUUUACGGAGCACUCGCGGCGCUGGAGGCGGCGAGACCGCGAGUAUUCCUACGCUCUCCGAAGAACAACCCGUGUUUCUUCCAGGCCUGCGCCUCCAGAGCUCAACAAACCACAAAAUGGGGUAAAAAUGCAGAAAACAACAUCCCCUCUCGCUCAAAAAGAAAAAAAAAGACGAAAAAGCGGAGGUGGCGAGGCAGCGAGUGCUCCUACACUGACCGAACAACAGGCUGUGCUCCUUCCAGGACUAAACAAAGCCAAAACGUGGUAAAAGUGUGGUGAAAACGCAUUGAAAACACCCGACACUAUCCAAAAGAACAAUAAAAACGGGCAAAAAAGCAGAGGAGGCUUAUGAAGCAGUGAGACGGCAAGUGCUCCUGCUCUGACAGAACAACAGGCUGUGCUCCGUCCAGCCCUGCGCCUCAAGCGCUCGACAGAGCCAAAAUGUGGUAAAAAUACGUAUCAUAUUUGAUCAAAGCAUCCCAGCCUGUCCAUAUAUGAAAAUAUAUCUACUUUUUGCAAGAGUGGAGGAAAAUUCCAGGCUGGCAGCUGUGUUCCUGACAUGAAGCCAAGCAUUUACCUGGCUCAGCCAAGCUGCUGAUGAAGAACACAUGCACUGUCACAUCACAAAACAUAACUGGAAGGGAAGGCAGACUAAAUCCUGCAUGUGGACAAAACACUUCUCUCUGCUUCUCAAACACUGAAAAGCUGAUGAUCCACUUCUUAAAGGCGUUGCUAAUGCACAUGUGAAGAUGCUGAGCAACACAGAAAGGAUUGGUCUUGUGCUUACUGGAUCCACCCUCAGCUUCCACGUGGUGCCAAAAGCAGGGAAGGCUGCUUUGGCUGGAAAAUUGGAGGAACUAAUUGGGCACACUCUUUCAUCAGGAAACAGCAUCCAGCUCAGAACAGCACACUUUGAACAAGCAAAUGAAUUUUUAUCUGAAGAGAGUCCAUGAAAACACCAGUCUUGAGGACCCCGAGGGAUCUCAGCAGAAGCUGCGGGUGCCGCACGAAUCAAAAGGUACAGCAUAAACACACAGGAAUCUGCUCCUUUUGAAAGCCCAGGAGACUCCAAGGGAAUCAGUUGUUGUGAACCCAAUGCAAACCCCCCUCGGCACCAUCACUGCCCCCACAAAGCGAUCCCAACACCGCUGUGACCUACAUUGCUCUUCCCAGCCACACUCCCACUCCCAGCACGUUCUGCAGGGUGAGCACGCAGCCCUCGCCUCUCACAGCACCAACAGCCAACACAGCAUCAUUAGUGGGUCUGGCAGCCCACAGAGCAAUAAUUGCAGGCAUUAUGAAGCAGCCACAGAGAUGACAGGCUCAGAGGGCAGUGCCAUAAUCAAGGGAAUGUAUAGACAGGAACAAUAAUAGCAUACGGGAACUCGGAGGAAGAUAACAAGAGGGUUAUUGAAAUGUGCUUUGAGGAGUAGAAAGAUAACUCAGGAGGGAAUCAAGCUGGCAUUUAUUUUAAUUCAAAUGCAAUCUCGGCUAUAAUCUACACAUUCAGGACUAGCUCUAAUUCAGACUACCAACAGACCCAUAUACCCCACUCCUUCACGUGUGGAAUUGAGCUAGAUCACUUCAGACCUCAGCUGCACUAGAAAUAUUUUAAAAUAUGGAUUUAUAUAUUCAGGGGUAAAUUUUUCUCUGGAAGGUUUUUCAGGUUGCUAGGCAAAAAUGCGGGAAUCAUUCUGUUUAAACCUUAGACUCAGGGGACAGAAUGAUUAUUUAACUUUGGAUUAUUGAAAUACAUAUAAGAGAUUUUUAAAGCAUUGACAGUGUUCAGAAAAUUAAAAGUUUUAACAUACUGGAAGCUACACAUGAAAAAACAGUAACAUCCCUUUAACAUUACACCUGUGGCCUCAUCAGCUGCACUUGGUAGCAACUUGUGCAUAUUUUGAUUUUGGGAUGAGAUACAGCAUUUUAUGCUAUGCCCCAAAGCCUGCCAGGUUUUAUUGUAUCCCAUUCACAGUGGGAUAUUUCUAGGUAAAUAUGCAGCAGGGCAGCAUGAGUUCUAGAAGAACCUGCCUCCGAAAAAAGGAACAGAGGCUAGUUCCUGUGAUUUUCUGUGUGCAGGUAUACCCAUAGUACGGUCAUUUACUGCUUGCUUUCCUCCCGUUCCCCAGAAUAAACAGCACACACUUAAACAUCACGUAUUUAAAUUCCUGUAAUUCCAACAACCAGGGCAGGACCUUCCCAAAGCACAGCUAACCCGAGGUACUGGCACCAGCCGUACCUUCAGGACUCCCCAUCCAUUGCUCCCCCUGGGCUGCCGGAAUUCAGAGCCUCUUCCCCAGCCCUCGGAUUAUCAAGGAGGGCUUUGCUACUGAAAACCAGAGGAGACGCUGAGUAUGGAAACUGCGAGUGAGGUUCAGAGCGAGUUCACGGCCGGAGUUUGCAGGAGGGGCCGGACCUGGAGCGCGGCUCAGCCCCGCUCUGCAGGAAAUGAGUUCUCCGGGGCCGAGCCUCUGCAGCGCCGCUUACAACUUCAUCCGGCCCCUGCUGGCCCCCCGGACAAGCUGGUGGCACCUGAGAGGUGUGGGGCGAGCGGCCAGGGGUUUUGUUCAGUUUUUUAUUGGACUUUUUUUGUGCUGUGGCCGAUGACAGCGCUGGCAGCGGCGGUCCCUGCGUCCCCGAUGAUUUCCUGAGCGCUGCUCUCGCCCUGCUCCUACCCGCCCUGCAGCCAGGGGCUUUCCGAACAAAAGGAAGUUUCAAGUAAUCUGUCGGGAAUCGACCCCCCAGAUGGCAGGGCAAGAGUUUUUAAAAAGGAAUAUAUUGGAUUAUUUAGGUCAGCCUUAAGCUGCUUUGUGCCUUUUGUUCUUCUGUUCCCGAGCAGAUCCUGUUGUAGUGCUCCCAGAGUGUAAUAUACUGUACCAGAACGCCGGUCCUGUUGAGUUGCCUUAAUGAAAACCUCAGACGCUGCUCAGACAACAAUUGCUCUCUAUUAAAAUAGUCUGAGCUGUGCUGGGUUUAUGCUGUUGCAGCUCUGAAACGUAACACUGAGAACAGUUUGGUUUGCAGUGCUCAACAGGCUUCAUAAAGGUCCAGCAGUGUUCUGCUGUGUCAUUUCUCUCGUGUUUCCUGCUGUAGAGCAUAAGUUACAUGUACAAGUGGCACAUGAAACUGCAGAAAAAAGGUAAGUGGUACGGUUAUGCACUACAGCAGUAGGCCCAUCUAGCUAAUUUAGUGUUUCACCCUAUAAUUAUAAAACAUAGGUAGGUAUCUUCUACAGAGAUCUGAAACACUGAACCCAAAGAGCA